UACGUAGGGUGCGAGCGUUGUCCGGAAUUAUUGGGCGUAAAGAGCUCGUAGGCGGUUUUGUCGCGUCGGAUGUGAAAACCCGGGGCUUAACUCCGGGCCUGCAUUCGAUACGGGCUGACUAGAGUUCGGCAGGGGAGACUGGAAUUCCUGGUGUAGCGGUGAAAUGCGCAGAUAUCAGGAGGAACACCGGUGGCGAAGGCGGGUCUCUGGGCAGUAACUGACGCUGAGGAGCGAAAGCGUGGGGAGCGAACAGG
rnacentral:rRNA from 1 species